UACGUAGGUGACCAGCGUUGUCCGGAUUUACUGGGCGUAAAGAGCGCGCAGGCGGUCGUUCAAGUCGAGUGUGAAAGCCCCCGGCUCAACUGGGGAGGGUCACUCGAUACUGAUCGACUUGAAGGCAGGAGAGGGAAGCGGAAUUCCCGGUGUAGUGGUGAAAUGCGUAGAUAUCAUGAGGAAUACCAGAGGCGAAGGCGGCUACCUGGACAAUUGCUGACGCUCAGGCACGAAAGCGUGGGGAGCAAAAGGG
rnacentral:rRNA from 1 species